rnacentral:tRNA from 1 species
GCCCCUGUAGCUCAGUUGGAAGAGCGCGACGGUCCUAACGUUGAGGUCGCUGGUUCGAACCCGGUCAGGGGUACCA